rnacentral:lncRNA from 14 species
AUUGCCCCGCUCCGGGCAUGUGAACAACCACCCCCCUUUCCCCUCCAUCCACCCCCAGCGCCAUGCCGGCAGCCUGCACCCUGCUGCUGCUGCUGGGGCUGGGGCCGGUCCUGCCGACCGGGUCGCUGCCCCUCGCUUCCCCACGGCGUCUUCCACCUCCUCCUCCUCCGUCCCGAAGCCGCCUCGGCCGCCCUUCCUCGCCUCCCACCGCGGGACACGCCGGCAGCCCGGUCACUGGCAGUACCCAUCAGGCAAGCAGAAGCUCGUACACAGAGAUAAGGACUUCUGGUACCCUCAUGGACAACAUAGAGCUGAUGACAACCCUGGCUGGGAGCAGGGAGCAUGCAUCACUGCCCGCCAGGCACGGUAUGGUGCCAGCAGUGAAUGGGGUAAUGGGGCACAUUGGUCCCCACACCAGCAGUGGGGAUAUCACCUCAUUGGGAGCAGGAUCCCCAGACAGCCUAUCUGCUGGGACAGCAACACACCUGCCUGCCUACAGCCAUCAUCAUGCUGCUGGAAGCCAUCAUCAUGCUGUGGGUAGCCGGGAGAGAGACAGGAGGGCUCUGGAUACUGCCAGCACCCAAACAGCUGCUGAGAGCACAGUUUUGGCAGCCAUCAGCACUGAUUUGGCUGAGAGGAUGCUGGGUGAGCACCACGGGGCCUGGCGUGUGGUGGGGUUUGACAACACCAUGACAGUGAUGCUGCCUUCAUCCGCAGAGACUCAUCGCUCAGGCACCAGUGACUCCUUGCAACUGCUGAGCAGCUGGAUGGCCAAGGAGCCAUCUGGUAGCCCUCCUGCAGGCACUGCAGCCACUUCACCCAGCACCUCGGGGAGCAGUGGAGGGACACUGUGGCCCCUCCCAAGCACUGCCUUCCCUGACUCUGCAGGACAGCCCCAGUCCUCCCCACAAGCCAGUAGCCAAACUGUUGCAAACAAUGUCAUACUACACCCCAGGAAUGUCAUGGGCAACUCCGCAAGAUCCUCAGGCACAGCAUCACCUGCCACGGACAGCACUUUUGGAGCUGCUGGGAGCAGCAUCAGGGCUGCAGAAAACCUGAGGUCCAGUAUCCAAAGGGUAGCACCUGGCUCAGCAGCUCACCAGCCCUUGUCCUCGGCGACCUCUUCGCUGGCCCUGGCACAGGAACAUGGGUUUGCCCCUUCUCACCCGGCUUUGGAAAGCACUGCUGUGGCCAUUGGAAGCAGCUACCAGCCAUCCAAAAGCUCAGCCACGGAGAGGAGAAUUUCAGACUUCCUCAUCACCAGCACCUUCAUUUCCACAACAGACACCAAGGGUGGAGGAAGGAUGUUAAGGUCUCUGCCAGCCAGCACCAGGCUGGCUGAUGCAGCAGAGAUUUCCACCUCUGGUACUGAAAUGACCAGCUCUUCAGCCCAGAGCCAGUCCCCUGGGAUGUCUCUGGGAGGCCAGGGUGGUGGCGGCAGAGGAGCCACAGACUUGUCACUCAUGGGCUCACCAUCUGCUUUGGAAAGCACUUCUCCAGCCUUUAGCAACAAUUAUGAACCCAAGAUCAUCCCAGCUGCAGAAGAGGCGAUGCUGCGCUCAGACACCCAUGGUGCUGACAUGUCCAGCAUGGAAGCAGGCACACCGGGGUACCCCACAAAUGGCCACAUAGCUGGCAUGACAGGGGGAUCUACCAAUACCACCAACCCCACCAGCUCUUCAGGGGAGACAUUCUCCUCUUCAUGGGCCAGGACACACCUUCCUAGCGGCUCACAGGAAGCCUCUGAUCUCCUAACACCUCCCAGGGAACCUUUGCUCACAAGCUUCUUCUCUGCCUCUGAAAGUACUUUCAGAGGUGUCAGAAGCAGCCACCAACCAGUUGACAGCUCAACAACAAACAAAAACCCCCGUGCUUCCUCUCCCAUCAGCACUUUCUUUCCAGCCAUGGCCAUAAGCAGCAAUGGGAGGCCCCCAAGAUCUGCCACCAGCACUAACCAAUGGACAGCAGAAGUCUCCACUGCCACUAGUGACAUGUACAGGACCUUGGGCACAAUCCAAUCCCUGUCCACAUCGUCUGUGAAAGAGACCUAUGGAUUUCAUGGGUCCAGAGAAAUCACGGAUUUCACCGAGUGGGUGGCAGACUCUGUGCUAACACGCUCUCACUCUCCUUCAGAAGGUCCUUCCUUAGCUACUGGAAGCAGCCUGGCAACAGACAGAAGAACCAAUUUCCCUACCACCAGUACCUCUGCUUCCACAACAGCUGCCAAGGGUGGAGGGAGAACGUUAAGGUCUCUGCCAGCCAGCACCAGACUGGCCCGAACAACAGAGAUUUCCACCACUGAUACCAGAACCGUCAGCUCUCCAGACCAUAUCCAGUCCUCUUUGGGAGCCCAGGGUGGUGGUGGCAGAAGUGCCACUGUGUCAUCCACAGAUCCGUUUCUCGCAGGCUCACCACCUGCUUCAGAAAGCAUUUCCCCAGGUGAGCUCUAACUGU